GGGCGCCUAGCUCAACUGGCUAGAGCAUCCCGUUUACACCGGGAAGGUUAUAGGUUCGAGUCCUAUGGCGCCCACCA
rnacentral:tRNA from 1 species